rnacentral:rRNA from 1 species
UACAGAGGGUGCAAGCGUUAUUCGGAAUUAUUGGGCGUAAAGAGCGCGUAGGCGGUUUGAUAAGUCUGAUGUGAAAACCCUGGGCUCAAUCCAGGAAGUGCAUUGGAUACUGUCAGGCUAGAGUACAGGAGAGGUGGGCGGAAUUCCUGGUGUAGAGGUGAAAUUCGUAGAUAUCAGGAGGAACAACAGUGGCGAAGGCGGCUCACUAGACUGUAACUGACGCUGAGGCGCGAAAGCGUGGGGAGCAAACAGG